rnacentral:misc_RNA from 1 species
GCACUACUUUCAUUUGCAAUGUGUUGCAAUAAAUAGAAAUGCUUUCAAUGACCUAUAUGAAAAUUUGUUUCCAAAUAAAUGUAGAGAGCCUAGACAUGUUAUAUUAUAGGGUUAACUUUUAUCAGCUUGCCCAACAGAUAAAACUAUAGAAAAAAUAGAAAGCUAAGAUUGAUGGCCUUAUCUUUGCCAAGAGCCUAAAGAAAACGAUAGUAGAGAAGCAUUGGCAAAAAGAUACACAACAAAUACAUAGCUAAGCACAUAAAUAUCACCAGAUGAUCUCAGCCUGCGAUCGGACGCUCAUCUUCAUCAUCGUCAUCCUCGUCUCCUGAUGUUUUUCCCUCAGUCUCAGAAGGAUGAGCCUGUAACUCAUCCUCAGAGACUAGAAUCUGAUCGGAUGCCUCGCCAUUCAAUUCAUUAUCACUAAACAGAUCCCUUUGAACAGGCACACUUCUUUGCUGCUGAGAUGAUAUCACACUUGCAAUGGCUUUGAAAGCGGCUGCAGCUUGAUUGCUUUCGACACCUGAGUCAUCAUCAACACCAUAGUUGGGUUCUUCUGAUUCAUCUUCUACUCGAGGUGGCGGAACAAAAAAGGGAAGUCUGCCCCUCUGCCAGUCAUGGAGGACCAUUUUUGCUGCAGUGGUCAAGUCAGGUUCGCCACCCCUUAGGAGCUUCCCUGUCAAUUUGCAAAGCUGAACUAAAAAGUCAUUAUCGUCCUCCCAAUUUUUUAUCCUGUAUGCUCUUUCAAGGUGUUCCUUCUUCACACGCUUCAAAACUUCUCCAAUAUGUUCGGCUGCAUCCUCCAAAUUUGUAACUCGUACCACGCCCUUAAGCACGAUAUCAGUUUCAGUGUCACUAUUCUGGUAAACAACUCCCGGGCAAUCAAUCAGGAAAAUCCUCUUUGUGAGAGUUAUAUAUUGCCAAACUUUAGUUUCCCCUGGAAUAGGUGCAACUUUGCACACAUUCUUAGUCCGUAGAGUGUUAAUUACAGAUGACUUUCCAACAUUGGGAUACCCAACAAAU